UUCUUACCACAGCAACGUUAACUACCACAUAGCAAAAUGCGCGCUAUCGUAUUCUUCGCUCUCGUCGCCGUAGUAGUGGCCAAGCCCAAACCUGGCUUCCUCUCAGGGUUCGGAAGCUAUGGUCUUGGAGGCCUUGGAGGAUAUGGAGGCCUUGGAGGAUAUGGAGGCCUUGGAGGAUAUGGAGACUUUGGAGGAUAUGCUCCAUCACUAAGCAUAGCCCACCAGCCAACAAUCUCCGUUGCCCACGCGCCCAUUAUCCAAGCAGCUCCUGUGGUCCAGGCUGCCCCUAUUGUCCACGCGGCCCCAGCAGUUGUCCACGCCCCAGCUGCUACUAGCUACUCUUCAUUCCAAAGAGUCAUUCACCCAGUAUCUCAAGCUGUUGUCCACGCUGCCCCAGUAGCAGUUGCCCAGCCAGUGGUCCACGCAGCCCCAGUACUGACCCAGCAGGUAGUUCAUACAGCCCCAACCGUCGUUCAUGCCCCACUUGCCACAUACGCCCAGUCAUUCGGUCAUGGUUGGUGAACAUUUAGCUGUAACUAAUAUUAUUAUAAUUAACAUCUAUGCGUUGAGAUCAAGCCCGUGCUGGCGGGGUGGUGCAAAUAAAUAUUUAUAUUCA